GAUGAACGCUAGCGGCAGGCCCAAUACAUGCAAGUCGAACGGUGUAGCAAUACACAGUGGCGCACGGGUGCGUAACACGUAUGCAACCUACCUUACAUUGGGGGAUAGCCUUUCGAACGGGAGAUUAAUACCGCAUAAGACAGUAACUAGGCAUCUAGUAGCUGUUAAAGAUUUAUCGAUGUAAGUUGGGCAUGCGUCCAAUUAGUUAGUUGGCCAAGUAAUGGCUCAACAAGACGAUGAUUGGUAGGGGAACUGAGAGGCCAAUCCCGCACACUGGCGCUUGGAUACGGGCCAGACUCCUACGGGAGGCAGCAGUAGGGAAUAUUGGGCAAUGGGCGCAAGCCUGACCCAGCCAUGCCGCGUGCAGGAAGAAGGCGUUAUGCGUUGUAAACUGCUUUUAUACAGGAAGAAACGACCCUUGCGAGGGGCAUUGACGGUACUGUAUGAAUAAGCACCGGCUAACUCCGUGCCAGCCGCCGCAGUAACAC
rnacentral:rRNA from 1 species